rnacentral:rRNA from 1 species
AUUGAACGCUGGCGGCAUGCCUUACACAUGCAAGUCGAACGGUAACGGGCCUUCGGGUGCCGACGAGUGGCGAACGGGUGAGUAAUACAUCGGAACGUGCCCGAUCGUGGGGGAUAACGAGGCGAAAGCUUUGCUAAUACCGCAUACGAUCUACGGAUGAAAGCAGGGGGCCGCAAGGCCUUGCGCGGACGGAGCGGCCGAUGGCAGAUUAGGUAGUUGGUGGGAUAAAAGCUUACCAAGCCGACGAUCUGUAGCUGGUCUGAGAGGAUGAUCAGCCACACUGGGACUGAGACACGGCCCAGACUCCUACGGGAGGCAGCAGUGGGGAAUUUUGGACAAAGGGCGCAAGCCUGAUCCAGCCAUGCCGCGUGCAGGAUGAAGGCCUUCGGGUUGUAAACUGCUUUUGUACGGAACGAAAAGCCUUCUUUUAAUACAGGAGGGUCAUGACGGUACCGUAAGAAUAAGCACCGGCUAACUACGUG